UCUUAAAAUUAAUUAUAUUUGAUUAUCGUUUGACCAUUCUGAAGUUUAUCAGUAGACUAUCAUAUUUCGAAUGCGAAAUGUUGUCAAUAACGCGGUGUCUAACUCGCUAUUAGUGAUAAGCUGCUGUGUAGCUUAGCUUAGCUUAUAGCUAAUGUUAAAGGUUUGAAAGAUAGCACUGUUAGGCUGUUAUAUCGAAUUAGUACACCCGAUUGUUUUGUUAAAUAUAUGUAUUGGUGUGUAUGUAUAUGUUAAUGAAAAAAGGUAGUGUCAGAAAAUCUGUUUUUUAAAUGUAGCGUGAAAGUUAACCAUUUAUUGACUGUUUAGAGGUUGUAAGGCUUUUACCUAACUGUAUUUAGUAUUAAUGAUGCUGCAUUCUUUCCUCAGAAGCUAAAGUUUUUCAAAGACAUUUGUAGGGAGGACUUUGCAGCUAAUGGUAAGUCAUUUUAAACUCUUAAGAUAUAAUAAUUCAUUCGUAGUAGUAAAUCAAGCUUCAGUUUAGAUAACGUUAUAUACAUAUUGAGGCGGUUUCCCGGACAGGGAUUAGACUACUCCUAGACUAAAAUAAAUGUAAGAGCUGUCCAAACUGAAAACAACUUGCACUGACAUAUCUUAAAAUACACCAGUGUCCUUUGUUUUGCCUCAAAAUGCACACAGGUAAUGUUUUUAUUAAGGCAUGUUUUUUGAAACUAGUUAUAUUUCUUAAUUAAACUAAGGCCUAGUCCUGUUUUAAGCUAAUCCCUUUCCAGGAAACCACCCAAUUGUCUGCUUGUUGCAUUUUCUUUCUGACAAGUUUUACAUUUAAAUUUAAUACAAUAAAAUCUUUCUUUAGGAGCUGAAGUAUUUUAUGUAAGGAGGAUUUUGCAGCCCAUAUAGAUUUCCUUAGGCUGAACCAAAACCUGCCAGACUAAAGUUGAUUUGGGAGAGAAAGACGUUGUAAACUCACUCAUCUUGACAUUCUUCAAUGAGUAAUUGUUCAAUUUUUAGGCAAAUACUGUACACUUUGAAUGGUGUGAAUAAAACUAUAUUUUAAAUAUAUUUAAAAUGAA